rnacentral:rRNA from 1 species
UGGGGAAUAUUGGACAAUGGGGGGAACCCUGAUCCAGCCAUGCCGCGUGUGUGAAGAAGGCCUUAUGGUUGUAAAGCACUUUAAGCGAGGAGGAGGCUCUCUUGGUUAAUACCCAAGAAGAGUGGACGUUACUCGCAGAAUAAGCACCGGCUAACUCUGUGCCAGCAGCCGCGGUAAUACAGAGGGUGCGAGCGUUAAUCGGAUUUACUGGGCGUAAAGCGUGCGUAGGCGGCUUUUUAAGUCGGAUGUGAAAUCCCCGAGCUUAACUUGGGAAUUGCAUUCGAUACUGGGAAGCUAGAGUAUGGGAGAGGAUGGUAGAAUUCCAGGUGUAGCGGUGAAAUGCGUAGAGAUCUGGAGGAAUACCGAUGGCGAAGGCAGCCAUCUGGCCUAAUACUGACGCUGAGGUACGAAAGCAUGGGGAGUAAACAGG